GAGCCUUUACGCGUGACUCUUCAGAAGGGGCUCUGGCAGGUACAGAGCCCUUUUCGGUUUGGGGGUACAUCUGGCAGCCAGAGGCGCCUCUUCAUUUUACGCUUGAGGAGAUGGGAAGCCCAGGGGAAAGGUCCAAGGUCACACGGUGAGUGUGAACAGGCAGCUCGGAGCAGUUCUGACUUGGCACCAGGGACCAGGGCUGACCGUGCGGGAACACGCAGCCUCCAUCAUCGCCAGGGCGCAACUCUGCUCACUGUUGGUCCAACUCUCAGAAAUUUUAUGUAUUUCAUCUCUCAUUUAGGCUCGUGUGUGGGGACAUGGCCACUGGACACGAGGAAAUCAGAGAAAAGAGAUGUCCCUCCCUGAGUUAUGGGUGAGAGAGCAGCAUGGAGCGGCUGUGAAUUCAUGCUGUGCAACUUCAGGCCUCACCACAGCCUCUCUGAGCCCCGGGUACAAGGAAGUGGUGAGCUGGUACUGGCAUCGAAGUGUGUGCUCUGGCGCUCCUAAACCCCUCGUUUUUCAGCUCUGGAUCAAAGACGACAGAGAACAAGAGGGCCCCAGGGCAAAAACGGCAAGACCCUGCUCCCAGCUUGGAAGUCUCGAACAACAAUAGCUAACAUUUAACCAUCCUAAUAAAGCUAUGGGAACAAUAUUCCAUUGUUUGGAUGUGCCAGUUGAUGUGUCCACUCACCUAUGGAAGGACAUCUUGGAUGCUUCCAGUGUUGGGCAAUUAUGAAUAAAGCUGCCGUAAACACUCACGUGCAGGUUUCUGUGUGGACAUAAGUUUUCAUCUCCUUUGGCCACACUGGCCUCUCUGGACUCCCAGCUCUGCCUCCUGAACCCAGGAAGACCCCGAGCUCUGCCUGGGUGCCCGUCCCUGCACCUUGGCCUGUGAACUCUUUCCAGCAGUGAGCUGGGGUGACUGUGGGCUCAUCUGGUUUGUUUUCUGUCUCUCAGGGGUCACUGCCCAUCAUUGCUUGAUGUCCAGUGUCUCAAAAAUUGCUUUUAACAUAUUUCAUCAGUUUUUUAAAAAUUGUUUCCAAUGGGGAGGUAAAUCCAGACACUAUUACUCCACCUUGGCCAGAAAUGGAGGUGUCUCAUAGUGCUUUUUACUAUCUAAAAUUUUCUUACAUCUUUUUUGGUUACAUGUUUAUUAUCUGUCUCCUCCAUCUG